GUGCUCACUUCAGCAGCACAUAUAUUAAAACUGGAAUGAUACAGAGAAAAUCAGCAAGGCCCCUGUGCAAGGAUGAGAUACCAAUUUGUGAAGGGGUUGGUAUUUUU